rnacentral:misc_RNA from 1 species
GAAAUGCGAUACGUAAUGUGAAUUGCAAAUUCAGUGAAUCAUCGAGUCUUUGAACGCACAUUGCGCCCCCUGGUAUUCCGGGGGGCAUGCCUGUCCGAGCGUCAUUUCUGCCCUCAAGCACGGCUUGUGUGUUGGGCCCCGUCCUCCGAUCCCGGGGGACGGGCCCGAAAGGCAGCGGCGGCACCGCGUCCGGUCCUCGAGCGUAUGGGGCUUUGUCACCCGCUCUGUAGGCCCGGCCGGCGCUUGCCGAUCAACCCAAAUUUUUAUCCAGGUUGACCUCGGAUCUGGUAGGGAUACCCGCUGAACUUAAGC